rnacentral:rRNA from 1 species
AGGAAUAUUGGUCAAUGGGCGUAAGCCUGAACCAGCCAAGUCGCGUGAGGGAGGACGGCCCUACGGGUUGUAAACCUCUUUUGCCGGGGGACAAACGGCGGCACGCGUGCCGUCCUGAGGGUACCCGGAGAAAAAGCAUCGGCUAACUCCGUGCCAGCAGCCGCGGUAAUACGGAGGAUGCGAGCGUUAUCCGGAUUUAUUGGGUUUAAAGGGUGCGUAGGCGGUUUGAUAAGUUAGAGGUGAAAUGUCGGGGCUCAACCCCGAAACUGCCUCUAAUACUGUUGGACUAGAGAAUAGUUGCGGUAGGCGGAAUGUAUGGUGUAGCGGUGAAAUGCUUAGAGAUCAUACAGAACACCGAUUGCGAAGGCAGCUUACCAAACUAUAUCUGACGUUGAGGCACGAAAGCGUGGGUAGCAAACAG